rnacentral:lncRNA from 1 species
GCGGUAAACGACUUUUAUGUAGUAUUUCUCCUCAACAAGGUAUUAUUAACCUGGAUGGGGAAGGCCUAAUGCUUGUGUUUAAAGCUACCUAUGAGAAGACUAGACUAGCUAAGCAAUAAUUUAAAUUACUAGACAAAAGCAAACCUAGCCUACAAAUAAGAAAGUAGAAAAUAAAAUUUAAAAGCUAAAGAAAAUUAAGAAACUAAAUUAUCUAAAAAUAACUAGUAGUUUACCAUCUAGCUACCAAGAGAGCUUUACUACUACCAAAGACUCCACCAAUUAAUUUACCAAAAAAAAGAAGACCCCACCAAUUAAUCCCGACGC